GGACAGAUCUCUGGAGAUCUCUUCAAUGAGAGCCGAAGGGGCAUAGGCGGAAACGCUGUAAUCUCUCAGGCCAAAGGACAGAGCCGAUUUC
rfam:Dialister sp. CAG:486 genomic scaffold, scf650